CUAACUGCCCUGGCAAGGACAAGAAAACUAAAGACUUGGUACACCUGCCUCCAUGAAGGAGGGAUCAAGAGAAGCCACUGUUUGGUUGUGAGGGACCAGGUUAGAGGCCUUUCUCCAGAUCAUGAGACUACACGUCUCAUGCAGUCUCCCUAGGCAGUCUGCAGAAGAAACACAAAGACUGCCACUGCUACAGGACUGGAGAGUGUGGUGACCGGGUAAUUAUAGGGUCAGAAAUGCAUUGCAGCUUCGACAGCAACUUACGAAAAAACAGCAGCAAGACCUUUUAUUUUCCCAGCUUCUCUACUUCAUGCUUGAAUA